rnacentral:rRNA from 1 species
AGGGUUUGAUCCUGGCUCAGGAUGAACGCUAGCGGCGCGCCUAACACAUGCAAGUCGAGCGAGAAACUGCCCUUCGGGGCAGGGGUAAAGCGGCGGAUGGGUGAGUAACGCGUAACCAAUCUACCUCCUCGUCGGGGAUAACCACCCGAAAGGGUGGCUAAUACCUGAUGAUCGCAUGGUGAUCCAGCCAAAGGCAGUCACAUCAAGCAGUCAGGGGGUCUUUGUCAAGACUCACGGGUCUUGACUGGCGACGGGCGGCUUUCCGACUUUUGGACUGUUCGUGGCCGUUGCGAGGGGAGGAGGUUGCGUCCUAUUAGCUAGUUGGUGAGGUAACGGCUUACCAAGGCGAUGAUGGGUAGCUGGUCUGAGAGGGUGGUCAGCCACAUGGGGACUGAGACACGGCCCUGACUCCUACGGGAGGCAGCAGUCGGGAAUCUUGGGCAAUGGGCGAAAGCCUGACCCAGCGACGCCGCGUGGGGGAUGAAGGCCUUCGGGUUGUAAACCCCUUUUCUGGGGGAAGAAUAAGUGGGGGAGGAAAUGCCCCUACGAUGACGGUACCCCAGGAAUAAGCCACGGCUAACUCUGUGCCAGCAGCCGCGGUAAGACAGAGGUGGCGAGCGUUAUCCGGAUUUACUGGGCGUAAAGGGCGUCUAGGCGGCCGGGCAAGUCAUCUGUGAAAGCCCCCGGCUCAACUGGGGGGUGGUCAGGUGAUACUGCCCGGCUGGGGUGCAGGAGAGGGGAGUGGAACUACCGGAGUAGCGGUGAAAUGCGCAGAUACCGGUAGGUACCCCAACGGCGAAGGCAACUCCCUGGCCCUGUCACCGACGCUGAAGCGCGAAAGCGUGGGGAGCGAAAGGGAUUAGAUACCCCUGUAGUCCACGCCUCAAACGAUGCGGGCUAGGUGUUGGGUCCCUAAAGAUGGCUCAGUGCCGCAGUUAACGCGUUAAGCCCGCCGCCUGGGGACUACGGCCGCAAGGCUAAAACUCAAGGGAAUUGACGGGCCCCCGCACAAGCGGUGGAGCACGUGGUUCAAUUCGAUGAUAAACGAAGAACCUCACCUGGACUUGACAUGCAUGUGGUACCGAACCGAAAGGGGAGGGACUGCUAGCUUCGGCUAGCGGAGCAUGCACAGGUGGUGCAUGGCUGUCGUCAGUUCGUGUCGUAGGACGUCGGGUUAAGUCCCUCAACGAGCGCAACCCCUACUACCAGUUGCCAGCGGUUCGGCCGGGGGCUCUGGUAGGACUGCCGGCGAAUAACCGGAGGAAGGAGGGGAUGACGUCAAGUCAGUAUGCCCCUUAUGUCCAGGGCGACACACGUGCUACAAUGGUCGGUACAAAGGGCAGCGAACCCGCAAGGGGGAGCGAAUCUCAGAAAGCCGGCCUCAGUUCGGAUUGGGGUCUGCAACUCGACCUCAUGAAGCUGGAAUCGCUAGUAAUCGCAGGUCAGCCAUACUGCGGUGAAUACGUACUCGGGGGUUGUACACACCGCCCGUCACACCAACCGAGUGAGGAGCACCCGAAGUCCCUCAGCCAAUACGAGGGUCGAAGGUGAGCUUCGCGAGGGGGGUGAAGUCGUAACAAGGUAGCCG